rnacentral:lncRNA from 1 species
UUUCUGGCUGGUCUAAGAAUUAAAUUUACAUGAGAUGGAUUACCAGGAGAAAAUCAAACUUAAUUGCAUACAUACAGGAACCCCAAAUACAUGAGAGAGUCAGAGAGCCCACAUAUGUGAGACGUUCAGAGACAAAAAGGUAGAAUGAGGUAUAUAUGCCAUCUUGAGCUAAGGAAUGGCAUACGGGCCUGAGGCUUCAGAGGGGAGAAGGGUAAUUCAUAGGAUGGUAGGAAGAGCAGAUGUUCAGUAAUUAGAGGUUUGCCCUGCCAUACAGAUAGGACAUAAAAACUUAGUUCUGGUAAUAAUUCUUAUCAUGGGCAAGGACCCCAAUUUAAAUUCUUUAAGAGGGAGGUAAAAGUUUCUCUUGGGCUCACAGGAUCUUGAUUGCCUUUAGCUCAAAAUAUUUCACAUGCCAAAGUGGCACAUCUCGGGGAGGCCUGUUCUGAACCCCUUCGCUAGAGUGUAAAACCUACCAUAAAGUGCCUGUUGAACUUGCCUGAGAGUAUACUGACCUACCGUGCUGGCCCUAUCUCCAGGCUGGGUUAAAAUGUUCCCUUUUUCAAGUUUCCAACAGAAUCUUGUGCUUACAGCAUCCUAGACAUCAUCACACUUUACAGGGUGUUUUUUUCUGCUUACUUGUCUGUCUAUCCUACUAGAUUUUGAGGUCCUCGAGAACAAGGGAAUUUCAUACUGUGCUUAGCAAAAGCACCUAAUAAACGUUUGAUUUUGUUUGACUUAACGUAAUUUGAUUUAACACCCAAUGAAGAUUUGCUUGAAAAUUCUGCUUUCUUAAAAAUGCUGACAGGUUCCAGGCUACCCAGCACAGAAGAGGCUAUUAAGAAUGGAUACCCUUCAAACAUCAGAAACUACCUAUCUUCUCUUUUUGCUGUCUGGAGGUUAGAGACAUACACUGGCCCGGACACACACAAUCCUGAGUACUCUCGUUUGGAGCUAGCUGCACACUUGGAGGGAAUCCUUUUGGAGCGGGAGGGCAGCACUUGCUACUUUCUUUUGUUUCGAUUAUAA